rnacentral:misc_RNA from 1 species
GAUGAAGAACGUCGCGAAAUGCGAUAAGUAAUGUGAAUUGCAGAAUCCAGUGAAUCAUCGAAUCUUUGAACGCACAUUGCGCCCGCCAGCAUUCUGGCGGGCAUGCCUGUUCGAGCGUCAUUUCAACCCUCGACCUCCCUUUGGGGAAGUCGGCGUUGGGGACCGGCAGCACACCGCCGGCCCUGAAAUGGAGUGGCGGCCCGUCCGCGGCGACCUCUGCGUAGUAAACCAACUCGCACCGGAACCCCGACGUGGCCACGCCGUAAAACACCCAACUUCUGAACGUUGACCUCGAAUCAGGUAGGACUACCCGCUGAACUUAAGCAUAUCAAUAAGCGGAGGA